rnacentral:misc_RNA from 1 species
GAUGAAGAACGCAGCGAAAUGCGAUAGGUAAUGUGAAUUGCAGAAUUCAGUGAAUCAUCGAAUCUUAGAACGCACAUUGCGCCCUUUGGUAUUCCUUAGGGCAUGCCUGUUCGAGCGUCACUACACACCUUAUCACAAUAUUUGUGGUCUUGGCAGGAGUGAAUUGCUGGUCUAUGGAAGUAUUCCAGCAGUACACAAUGCUAAAAAAUAUGGGAAGGUUACCAGAUAUGAACAACAGACUUUGUAAAUGGUUGUAGGACCUAGAUCAGUCACAAGUCAUGUCUGGUCCCUUACCUUAAGGACCCCCAUCCUAGAUGAACUAUGGGUUGACCUCGGAUCAGGUAGGAAUACCCGCUGAACUUAAGCAUAUCAAUAAGCGGAGGA